rnacentral:rRNA from 1 species
CCUACGGGUGGCAGCAGUGAGGAAUAUUGGUCAAUGGACGAGAGUCUGAACCAGCCAAGUAGCGUGAAGGAUGACUGCCCUAUGGGUUGUAAACCUCUUUUGUCGGGGAGCAAAGCGAACCACGUGUGGUUCAUUGCGAGUACCCGAAGAAAAAGCAUCGGCUAACACCGUGCCAGCAGCCGCGGUAAUACGGAGGAUGCGAGCGUUAUCCGGAUUUAUUGGGUUUAAAGGGUGCGCAGGCGGAGGUGCAAGUCAGCGGUCAAAUUGCGGGGCUCAACCCCGUACUGCCGUUGAAACUGCAUCCCUUGAGUGCGCGGGAAGUAUGCGGAAUGCGUGGUGUAGCGGUGAAAUGCAUAGAUAUCACGCAGAACUCCGAUUGCGAAGGCAGCAUACCGGCGCGCAACUGACGCUCAUGCACGAAAGCGUGGGUAUCGAACAGGAUUAGAUACCCGGGUAGUC